rnacentral:rRNA from 1 species
AUUGAACGCUAGCGGGAUGCUUUACACAUGCAAGUCGAACGGCAGCGCGGACUUCGGUCUGGCGGCGAGUGGCGAACGGGUGAGUAAUGUAUCGGAACGUGCCCAGUAGCGGGGGAUAACUACGCGAAAGCGUAGCUAAUACCGCAUACGCCCUACGGGGGAAAGCAGGGGAUCGUAAGACCUUGCCCUAUUGGAGCGGCCGAUAUCGGAUUAGCUAGUUGGUGAGGUAACGGCUAACCAAGGCGACGAUCCGUAGCUGGUUUGAGAGGACGACCAGCCACACUGGGACUGAGACACGGCCCAGACUCCUACGGGAGGCAGCAGUGGGGAAUUUUGGACAAUGGGGGCAACCCUGAUCCAGCCAUCCCGCGUGUGCGAUGAAGGCCUUCGGGUUGUAAAGCACUUUUGGCAGGAAAGAAACGUCGCGGGCUAAUACCCCGUGGAACUGACGGUACCUGCAGAAUAAGCACCGGCUAACUACGUG